rnacentral:tRNA from 1 species
GCGUCUGUAGCCUAGUUGGUAAAGGCAGCACUCUAGUAUGUGUCUCAGCAUAGCUGAGGUCGUGAGUUCGACUCUCACCAAACACA